rnacentral:lncRNA from 1 species
CCAUAACAACUAAAUUACCGGAUAAUUAACAUUAUGUCCCAUACCAUAGCUUAUCAAGUAAAACAAUUAUUACAGACAUUAAAAUAUAAAUUGUUUGUUUGUUUCUAGACUCUCUCCUACUUCAUUCCACAUAGCAAGCAUCCUAGCAUCGCCAACACCUGUCACAUAUGUUAAAAUAGAGGUCAAUACACAUAGUGUAAAGGUGAGCAUACAAGUUUAAUAGUAUAAUAGAUAGUGAAACGUUUUACGCAUAACCAGCAUGUAACAUGUAGAAAAGUGAAGCUAGUAGGUUAUCGACAAUGAAAUAUGCACAGACGUGACUACGAAUUGUAGAGUGCGCAACACAUAUCACCAUUGUGACACGUGAAGAAAUACCCUUAGCAACCCCCGUCCACGACAGGUGCUGAGUCCAAACUAUAGUAAUAUCGUUGCUAAGGUGCCAGGCAACAAUCACUGUGUAAACAUAACAUACAAGCAUUCAUCGAAUAACACGCAUAACAUGCGAGAGCGGUUAGCGUAUAAAAUGUGUUUGCAUUGUGUGAUCGAUGUGAUUCAGUAUAAGUAACGUAUGUAACACUGAUGUGCAUUAGGUGCGAUAUAACUUAGGUGUAUAUUUUAAGCCCUUUUUACACUUUUUAGCCAAGUUUUAAAUUUAUAAACACGAUAUUCACUAACACUAAACACACAUAUGGGCAAGUGCACCCAUCGUGGACGUAGUAUAGUGUUAGUAAGAUACCGAGGUCGUCCAAGGACACAAGAGCUUUUAGUACCGGUUUAUCCUCAACGUCUAAUCAAAUCAAAAUGUUAGAAAAAAAGAUUUUUAAACUAGAAAAAUAAAACUAACUGAAAUGCUGAAAAAGAAAAUAAAAGUAAAAACAGAUAGACAAGAUGAAUCACUUGGAUCCGACUCAUGUACCUUUCUUUUGAAGGUGACGUUUCCCUCAACCCAGUAG